CGGCGAGUGACAGGGAUAAGCCCAGCACCGAAGCCUGUGGCCGUUUGGCCCCUAGGCAAUGUGGUGUUCAGGUUAGCUCGCGGGGAUGCUGCUCCACCCUAAGUCCUAUAAUGAGUAAGGUUACUCGGACAUGGCCCACAGAGGGUGAAAGGCCCGUGGGGGUGGAGAGUCAGAUUGGCCAGUAUCUCCCUGAGCAGACCUUGGAGUCGGGUUGUUUGUGAAUGCAGCCCAAAGCGGGUGGUAAACUCCAUCCAAGGCUAAAUACUUGCACGAGUCCGAUAGCGAACAAGUACCGUGAGGGAAAGUUGAAAAGUACUUUGAAGAGAGAGUAAACAGUGCGUGAAACCGCUCAGAGGUAAACGGGUGGAGUUGAACUGCAAGCUCUGAGGAUUCAGCUGGUGAGUUUGGCAUGAGCUUGGUCAUGUGGGUUGUGUGUUCGGGUCUGCUUAGCUGCAGGUCCUCGCCUUUGGUGGGGAUGCGCGUAUCGCUUAUCAAGCGUUGUGCGCCCGUUCUUGUCGGACCUGCUCGCCAGUGCACUUUCUCAGAGUGUUCACCACGACCGGCGUUGUCGUCUGGCUGGUGCGGUUAAACCGGUCUUGUAGGGUCCUUGUGACCUUGCCUGGUCGGGAUGGCAGGUAGCCCGUUGUGUACUUCGGUGUGCUUCGGGUGUAAUAGCCGACUGCAUCGGUUCUGUGCGGUACGUCGGAGACGGCGGCUUGUUGUGCGUGCGGGCGUGCCUGUUGCGCUGGCGGCUCUGGGUCUGGUUGCCUUGUUGCUUGUAAAUGCAAGCCUGGUGAUGGCCUGGGGUCG
rnacentral:rRNA from 1 species